GAGAAUAUCACGCGUCUAAAGUUGGAAAUCUCAACCGUUCAUUCGACUAAAACAACCCUAUAUAUAAUAACUGGUGCGUUUCCCCUAUUUUCAAUUCAAUUUCUCCCCUUUCAAUUCACUAGUUCUCUCAUUCCUCUCGUACGUACCACGUCUCAAGAGUUCGGUUUUCCUAUUCGUGACCUGGUUUUGACAUGGAUCAGAUUCCGAUCUACUCGCCAAUCGUGCUUUUCCUACGAGUUGAUUUUCCAAGAUUUGAAGCCCGGUGUCACCGAUCUACCGUUCAGAGGUUUGAUGAUCGUGUUCGUGUUGCUUGUUUCGUGAAGGCUCGAUGAAUAUAGCGCAGAUCGCCAGAACAAAAUUACCAGGUGCAGCGCUUCAUAGUUGCCGUUCCUGUGUGGAGUUCUUCGCAUUCGGAUUUAAAGAAAUUAUACGAGGAUUCUUGAGGGGAUAUGUUCGGUGUAUGUAGUAGUUUGAAUAUUUGGGGAUGAAGUGGCUAUGGAGAAUUUUGUCAACCGACCUUUGCCAUGACAGGUGCGCUUGCAUGGCAGGUCAAUACAAAUUAAUAAAGAAAAAUUAUUUGUGGGUUUUGAGGGAGAUCGCACGGGAAUUCCCGGGUUCUCCCUCUGGUGUGGUGGUGUGUGUGUCUGUGUUCCUUUUCCUUCUUUCUCCCUUUCUUUAUAUUUUUCUUUUCCUCUCUCACUCUUCUUGCGACGGAUACACCACCACUGGACUCGCUUCGUCAUCGAACUAACAAGGUAUCGUCUAAUUUAUCAAUUUAACUUUACCUUUACAAUAACGCCUUUCUUUUUUCGUAACAUAGUCAAUAUACUAAUAAAAACUAACAAAAUCAAUGCAAUUGCAAACAUUGAAACAAGUAACUCGUAUAUGAAAAAUUAAUCACUGUAGUUUAUCUCUCGAAAUGGUGAAUUAGUAAUUGAAGUGAUAUUAUGAUGUUAAUUCUAAUUUUGACCGUUUUCUUUUAUUUACUGGGAAUAUCUAACAGCUUGGAUGAUAGAUUCGUAACAACAACAUUGAUCCUCCGGUCGACUUCUGUAAUAACUAAUCAAAAGGCGAAACUACUAGUUAACACUUUAUUGAUAUUUUUUCAUCUGUUAACUUUUAAAAUUUUGCAACGCCAUUACUACGAGUAUCAUUUCCGGUUUGAGUUCUUAUCAUUAAUUGUAACCCACAAUCUGUUCACCUUGACUUUUAGCAUUUCAUUUUCCCACAAUGCAUAGAUUUUUCUGUAGAUAUACUCGUUCGAUUGAAGUCUUCGCAGCCGGAAGGGUGUGAACAGUGUUUCACCGUAUCAAAUAUUGCAGUGAUCUUCCUCAGCUUGACUAGAAAGAAUUGCAAGGUUUCAGGUGUUCAAAAGGCUAAAUUCAAGGGAACAUUUCAAAUAUAUGUUCUUAUUCAUCAAUAUUUUGAGGUAGCUUUCUAAAAUUUUAGUGAAUAAAGUCUCAUAUUGAUGGUUUUCGGUCUCUGGAAUAAUUCUGUUUGGCCUCUGGUUUAUGUUGUUGAUUAUGUUUUAUGGAUGGAAUGGGAUCACCAUAAAUUUUAUCUUUCUUACAUUUGAAGCUUAGUAAUGAUUUUUUUUCUUUUAUUUUGAGUUUAUUUUUUAUGUAAUCCAACUUUCAAUUGAAUUGUUCAUGCGUAGAUCUUGUUCAGUAAUGAAUGAAUUUUUACGUUAAAUAAUGCCAAUUACCUUCUUCAUUAAUUCCAACUGGGGAUUCUUGUCAAAGAUGUUAAUGUGUGCACUUAUAAUGGAAAUUGUGUUAAGUUAGAAUUUUAUGUGAUCCAAAAUUACUACUUGAUUAUAAAUGAGGAUUAAUGUUUCAUGCAAGGGCCCUGAUCCUCAAUUAUGCAAUAUUUUACUAGCAACAUGAGUUAUCAAAGAUGAUAAUGUAAAGUGUGAAAGGAAGUCCUUUUUUCAUCAUGUAUUUUAUUCAUUUCGCUGGAAAUAAUCGUUUUAUUUUGAAUUCAAUGAGAUCUUUAAUCAUUAUUCAACUACAAUUGCUCGAAACUUUUUUGAGAGGUGAGGUGAUAUUAGAUAAUUGGUCGAUUUGUUGUUGGUAAAAAUAUUUUAUUUUAUUAUAUUAUAUUAUAAUAGUAAUAAUAAUUAAAUCAAUGAUUAUUAAACAUUAUUUAAAAUGUAUAUUAGAGGAUAUAUUUAAUUUAUUAAUCAUAUAAAAAAUUAUACUUUUCUUUUAAUUAAACUUGUGGAAUGAGAAAAAAAUUGCAAUUUCUCAAGGGAUUGGCCAUUAUCUUUAACGUUUAUGUUUGUUUGUAUGAAUAUUAUUAUAUAACUAUAUUAUAAAUAGUAUGUGUAUGAUGUGCUCUUAAUGUUCAAAUGGGUUGCUUGAAUAUUCUCUAAAUAUAUAUGUUACAGAGGUGAUUUGGCCACAUCAGUUUGCCUUCUUUUGAAAUUCAUUGAGAACAGAAAUAGCCACCUAAUCUGGAAAUUGUUGGAGAGAAAAAUGUAUUGUAGAUUUCUAACAUUUUCUUACGCAUGUUCUUUCUUUGGGAGUACAAAUAUUAAAAAUCAACGAGUUUCACUCAAUUAAAAAGGUUUAUUCAUGAUUGUAUAGUUUUCAAAUAAACAUAAGAUAGAACAGAGUGUUUUAAGAAGUGCUAUGUUGUUAAUAUUUCUCCAUAAGAUUGUGAAUUAUUUUCUGCAUUUUCUUUCCAAGGUAAGAAAAUUUUGUUAAAGAGUAUUUUGAUUUGAACUAUUUAUAAAUUGAGGAGGGGUUGAAAUAUUUUUUAACUAAAUGUUUGAUCCAUUUAUUUUCAUGAAUUUAGGAAUUAUUCUAUGUUUUGCAAAACUUUGAUUAUAGCUAUGUUUUGUGCAGAAAGACUGCGUUAUAAAUCCUGUAGUUUCUCUUGAAAGUUCUGUAAGCUCAAAAUGGUAGAGCGUUCAAUGCAUGUUUCAUUGACCUAAUCUACAAAAGUUGUGAAUGCUAAUUUAAUUUAAUUUCAAAUUAAGUAGAUAGUUGGCUUUGAGAGGUUGGUGAUUCGACACCGUCCGCUCAACAGUUUGUUGUGGAUGCUUAUUGAACAAGGUUUUUUUAAUAACAAUAUGGUAUAUUUUUAUACACUUCUUUUACAAGUAUUUUUUUCUCAAAUUUUAAAUAGUAAUUUCUAAGAAUAUAUUUUUUAUUUUGAGAUACCUUAUUUGUAAAGGGGCUGAUUGUCUUAUUUCUAAAUUAAGUUGUAGUUCAUUUCAUACUGAUUGGUUUAUCAUGAGGAUGCAAUUGAGAUAAUUCUCUCUAGUAUAAAGUUAACUAUUAUUAUUCUGACAACUUUUAUUACGAGGAUACAAUCGGGUGAUUGUUUUACAAAAGGAACUAUAAUUCAUUCUUAAAACUUUUAAAUAUAAUUGGGCAUAGGCUAGAAACUGGAAGUGUAACUGAAAGGCUGCAUGAAUUUAUUUUAGAUAUUGAAUUCUGGCUCACUAUAAUAUUCUAUGGAGAAGCUUUCAGUAGUUAUUGGAGUAACGAAUUUUUAGCUGACAAUAAUAUGUGUUGACAAUUAUCAAUGACAAUUAGGCAGUAUAAUUGAUCAAUGAGAAGCUUUGUUUGUUAUAACAGAAUAAUAUCUAAUAUAGUGAAUUCCUUCGUAGACGUAGAUUGAAGUUCGUUAUUACUUCAGUCAAACUAUGUUAAACUUUUGUGAGUUCAUGGUUUACCUUCUAUCGUUUUCAACACCUGUAAAUUGAUCUUUGUUUUCAAUUUUGUUUUUGAAUUUGUGAACUAUUCCACAAUAAACUGGUGUGGUGAGCUUUGGAAGAUGAUUUCUGCAAAGUAUGAGGUUGAAAAAUUCACUGGACCUGAUGAUUUUGGAUUGUGGCGGUUGAAGAUGCAUGCUAUUUUGGUUCAACAAGGCCUCUUUAGAGCUUUGGAAGAUAUACUCUUUCGGUUGAAGUCUCUGGAACUGGAAGGGUGCGAAUUGAGUUUCACCGUAUUAGAUAUUGCAGUGAUCUUCCUCAACUUGACAGGAAAGAGUUGCAAGGUUUCAGGUGUUCAAAAGGCUAAAUUCAAGGGAACGUUUCAAGUACAUGUUCUUAUUCAUCAAUAUUUUGAGGUAGCUUUCUCAAAUUUUAGUGAAUGAAGUACCAUAUUGAUGGUUUUCGGUCUGUGGAAUAAUUCUGUUUGGCCGCUGGUUUAAUUUUAUGUUGUUGAUUAUGUUUUAUGGAUGUAAUGGGAUCACCCCAUUAAAAAAAUAUAUGUAUAUCCAUAAAAUCUCCACCCUUAAAUUUUAUUUUUCACACGUUAGAAGCUUAAUAAUAGUUUUUUUUUCUA